UCAGGCUGGAGUGCAGUGGUGCAAUCUUGGUUCAUUGCAGCCUCUCCAACUCCCAGGCUCAGAUGAUCCUCCUGCCUCAGCCUCCCAAGUAGCUGGGACUACAGGUACAUGCCACCAUACCCCAGCUAAUUUUUUCUCUGGGUAGCUGUGAUGGUUAAUACUGAGUGUCAACUUGAUUGGAUUGAAGGAUGCAAAGUAUUGAUCCUGGGUGUGUCUGUGAGGGUGUUGCCAAAAAAGAUUAACAUUUGAGUCAGUGGGCUGGGAAAGGCAGACCCACCCUUAAUCUGGGUGGGCACCUUUAAUCAGCUGCCAGCAUGGCUAGAAUAUAAAGCAGGCAGAAAAACAUGAGAAGACUAGACUGGCCUAGCCUCCCAGCCUACAUCUUUCUUCUGUGCUGGAUGCUUCCUGCCCUCGAACAUCAGACUCCAGGUUCUUCAGUUUUGGGACUUGGACUGGCUUUCCUUGCUCCUCAGCUUGCAGAUGGCCUACUGUGGGACAUUGUGAUUAUGGCCCAGUGUCUCAGCAAAGACUUAGAACAUGGUGCUACUUUCUUCCUCUCCCAAGAAGUCAUGUUUUCUUUCCUCAUGCUCAUGACUUACUGGAUCCUUUCCUGCAUUAAAAUAAAAAAGACAAACCUUUUUUAGAGGAAGACGCUGUUGUGGACAUUUUUCAUAGAGAAACGUACUAUUUGUAGACUUUUUUGGCUCUCCGCCAAUUAAAGCUUUACCGCAGAGCUAUACAUGGAAUCGCCGGCUCCUAACCAUUUUACGGAGGCAUUUUUGGAAGCCCUUCGGGUUCAAGUCCCAGUAAACAACGUUCACAGGUCAGAUCCCUUGGAUGUCAGGACCGCAUCCAUGGAGAAGAGCUGCUCUGAGAGCAUCUGUAACCCUGCUAUGAGGGGGAGCCUCCCACGGGAAGCCUAAGGCCCUUGAGCCUGCUUUGAAAACCUGGGGCAUCUCAGCACAUGCACGGUGAGCUCCAAAGCCACGAAGGGGCCGGGGGCCUCGGGCUGCCCAUGUGCGCCCCGCCCAGAAAGCAGACAGACUGUUGGGCGUGCACCUUCUUCUAGGUCCCCUUGGGCUGUGUUUACCUGCAAGCUCCAUUUCCUGGGCGGCCAUAACUUGAACCUCCAACUGGUCCUUGGCAGCCAUCCUGCUGCCCUUCCUGCCCACGGGCUCCGUGGCUGACUGGCCUGGGAAGCUAGAGGCGACCUCUGAACCUGGACAAGCUACCAGGUCUCCAGGACUGAAGGUUAUCAUCUAAGUUGGUGUUCUCAACUGGAGGCGAUUUACCCCCCACCCAGGAGACAGUUGGCAAUGUCUGGAGGAAAUCUCUUGCCGGAAGCCGUGCCACAGAGCACACAGGCAGUUUGCAGAGAAGGAUGCAACCCACACCAUGUCCGAAGCGGGCUCUGGGGAAGGCAAGGUUUGAUUGUUUCUCAGGUUGUUUUACUGCCCUGCCCACACCCUCCCACCCAGAGAAGUUAUUCCUUCUGCAGCUGUGUGCGAUUUUUUCAGAAAGAGUUUUAGUCUUUGUUUUUCCCAAGACUUUGUAUUGCCUUUUCUCCUCUUCUUGGGCUUGAGUUUAGAUGGGACAUAACAGGAAAGGGCAAUGAAUCCCAAACCCAUUUUAUUUUUUGGUUCAUUUGUUGAUUUAUUUUUAUCUCAGCAAUAAUUUAGUGAGAAAGAAGGUUAAUAUGAUGACAAAAAUAUGGGUUUGGAAGACCCUUAGUGAGUUUUAAGAAGACAGGCCACCAUAGCAGCUGUAGCUAAAUAAGCAUUUGCUGUAUAAGUCAAUUACUAAAAAUUGUGUGUUGUCUACUUAGAAAUGUUUCUUGGGGUGUUUAUUAAGGUGUGUGACUUUGAGAAUGAGGAAUAGAGGAAAUGGAAGACGAGUAAGAGAAACCAUCCUCCAUUUGAGAUAUCGUGACCCAGCUCUGUUUCCUUUGCUCUCUGUCUGAAGUUAAAAAAAACAAAAACAAAAACAAAACAAAACAAAACAAAAAUUAAAAACCCUCAAUGGAGAAAUAUAUAAAUAUUUACAAAGGCUUCUCUUCUAUCUACAAUACCUUUGUGCAAGAUAUAUCAUCUUAAAAUCUUGCAAUUUGAUUGCAGUUGAAAUUAAUGGUGCAAGAGGUUUUCUUUUUUGUUUGCUUUUUUCUUCAUAACGGAAGUGUAAUCUCCUUGCAAAGCUUGUGAGCAUGCAUCCUAAAUUGUGAACUUCAUCUGCCAUGGAAGGGAAAACCUUGACCCAAUACCAUUGGGAUCUAAAAGUGUGAUUCCUAGGAUUCUGAGCAUACUACACGAGAUUUAAGGCCCCUUUCAGACUCUGCAUUAAUGCUUGUUCAGUAGUGAUAAAUAACAUUGAUUGGUAUUGAGACCAGAUUAAUAACAGAAGGCAGCUAAAAGGUAUUCCCUCUUAGCCUAAUUUCCCAAAGGGCAUCACUCAGCUGCAUUAGUGGGGCGAGGCUCUUCCUUCUCUAAGUGGUGUCUUUAGAAGCUUGAGGGAUUAUUGCUCAGGGGAAAAUGGCUCAAUCUGCGGGAUUCUUUUUCUUUUUGAGAUGGAGUUUUGCUCUUGUUGCCCAGGCUGGAGUGCAAUGGCACAAUCUCGGCUCACCACAGCCUUCGCCUCCUGGGUUCAAGAGAUUCUCCUGUCUCAGCCUCCUGAGUAGCUGGGAUUACAGGUGUGCACCACCACGCCCAGCUAAUUUUGUAUUUUUAGUAGAGAUGGGGUUUCUCCAUGUUGGUUAGGCUGGUCUCGAACUCCCGACCUCAGGUGAUCCACCCGCCUCAGCCUCCCAAAGUGCUGAGAGGGAUUCUUAAGAGCAGCUGAGAAAGGGCCCUGCACUUCAGCUGGCUCCAGUUUGUCAUCCUUUGUCUGGUAUCUUCAGACAAGACAUUGCAAUAAGAAAAAAUAAAUACAGUGUGAGAAAUCAAAUGGUUUUUGUCAAAGUGUAAAAGGGACUGCAUCUGACUAACACUGGAGUUGGACAGAAGCCAUAAAGGAUGUUUUGUGUGAAUGUUUCCGGCUGCAAAAUCUACCUGACUGUUGCACUGAAACCACAACUAUCUAUCACAUGCUUGUGAGAAACCCCCAGGAGCUUCCUGUUUCGUGUGGGUCGUGAGAAGAUUGCACAGCACAGUACAGCUUUCAUUGUCUUUGAGCUAAUCUUAAGCUAGGAGAAGGAAGGAGAAUUCACAUUUUGUAUGUUUAGUUAUUUGUGAAGUCUUUACACCCAUAAAUCGAUUAUGUAUAAAUUAGUAUACAGAUUCACUACCAUGGAGAGGAUACUGUGUACAUCUGAGGAUACUGUGUACAUAUGGUUGAGUCACUUCACCUAGGCCUUGGGGAGGAGUUGGGGCAUCUCCAGGGUAAAGUAAUGUGGUUUAGCACGGGGACUUCCAAGGAAGCAUCAGUAUGAGAUAGGGGAACAUGGCUGACCAACGGCAAGAUGAUGCCCCAUGAUGGAGCAGAUGGGAUUGGCGUGGGAGGGGUAGUUUGUGAGACCAGAAGACUUGCAAUCUCUCCUGCUGAGACCAAUACCAACCAAAGAAUAAUUAGAGAGCAUGGAGGACAACAUGAUCUCAUGUGAAUCUCACAUCAUACCUUACAAGUUAACUCUGUGUAUCGCCUAAGGAACGGCUGAAGCUUCUUUUCUUGUAAAUGACAAUAGACACAUAUCCAGUGCCAUUAAGGACAGCAUCUGGUCACCCAGUGGCCAAUAAUGUCAAAGUUCUGAUCACAAGGUGAGCAGUUUCCUGAAGAUAGAAGAGUACGAUGGCCACAGCCAUGGGUUCCAACAUAGCCACUCUCUGGGGCCACCAGACACCCUCCUCACACUCCGCAGAGUUUGCUUAAAUGUGCUCUGAGCUGGAUGCAUUUGCUAAAGGGGCCAGCUGAAGCUACCCGUACACAUCGUUUUACAAGCCCUGGGCUGUCAAUGGGUCUUUUAAAACCAGCUGAACUGCGUUUUGCUUUUCAGUGUGUAAGCUGGUCAGCUUACAGCAGUACAAAUUGGCAGCGUGGCAAGAAAGAAAACUGAAAUUCAAUCCAACACUGGGAUUGGAAGCUCUUGAGACUCAAAUGUCACCAACACCGGGGGCUUCUCCUCUAAUUAUCCUGUCAAACGAGGGUUGAAAAUGUCAGCACAGACUUCAGUCUCAGCUCCUCCAGCAACCAAUGAGAGUGGGCUUGGGUCUGGUUUAAAUGAUGAAGAACAAAUUUGAAAAACCCUUCAGUUGAUUUCAAGACUUCCUGGGACGGCGAUGUUUAAACCACAAUGUUCUUCUUUUGGGGCAAAGUUAAGAGCCAAUCACAGUUAAGGUUUCUCUGCAUGUUCUGCCCAUAUUUGGCUGUAAUCUUGCUUCAUCCAACUAAAUUUAUAAUAUAUGUGAGUGAAAAGCAAGCCUUUGGGAUUUGUCUCUCUCUCUCUUUCCUUGUUAUAAAGGAAGCCUUAUCUUUAUGCAUUUGGGGCUACCUGUGAACUUACAGUCUAGCUUCAAAGCAAAGAAAGGAGCAGCCAGUGUAGAAAACUUCGUUUUUACUUUUUUUUUUUUUUUUAAACAAGCUUUAACUGUAGCUUCUGGCUACAGGAAAGUACAUAGAAAACCGAAUCUAGUUUCGGCCUGUGCAGUACUGACCAGGAGAGGCUUAUGAGAUUAUGGGGAUAUUGAAGAACACAGAAUGUCACAUGGAUGAUUGUAUUUUAUCUAUAAUGUAUGUGUAGGAGAGAUCCAUUUCUCAGAGAUGGCAAGAACUAAAUGCACCCUUUGAAAUAUCUUCUUAGGGGUUGCUUGAGGAGGAUGAUCAAAUCUUACAGAGAGAUAAGACACAAAUAUGAUAAAAGUUAUUCUCAUUUUAAGUGACUAUUUAUUGACCACUUGAUAUGUAUCAUCCAUUUCAUUCUCACCACAAUCCUAUGAAGGAGAUUCAAUUCUAUCCACAUUUUGCAGUGAAGAAACUGUGGCAGUGCAUGUAACUUGCCCCAGGUGCCUGAGCUUAUAAGGAGUGGAACUAAGAAUCCACUCUGAACAGUCAGCUGCCAAAGCCCCUCACUCUUAGCCUCUUUGCUCUACUCCACUGAGAUGUUCUCUUGGGUUUACUACCAAGAACAGAGGCUGUAAGUAGUAUAGAAUGCCCCCGGGGACCCCAGUGUCCAAGACACCAACUUCCACUGCCUCUCAGGACCCUAAGGAAAGAAAACUGAGAGGUUGUUCAGCUUGUCUCAGGUCCAGAACUGUCUGGUCAGAGGGGAUCCUGGGAUCCACCAGUUGAGCCCUUCAUUCAGGGCCCCAGUUAUUCCUAGUCUUGGGAAACCCAGCUCUAGAAGCCCCUCCCCAGCAGGAUUGAGGACAAAGGGGCUAGACUAGAGACCCAGCAACAUGGCCCUUCCAUGUUCUCAAAACUCAAGAGACCUAGAAAAGAGAAGGGUGGCAAAGCAGCCCAGCCCCACCCCCCAGGGCCAGAGAGGCCCCACUUCACUCUGUAGAGCAGUGGGAUUCAUCUGGGUGCCAUUUGGCCCUCCAGGAGAUGUUUGGCAAUGUUUAGAGACAUUUUAGGUUGCCACAGCUGGGUUGGGGAGGCGAGGGUGCUACUGGCAUCUAGUGGGUAGAGGCCAGGGAUGCUGUUAAAUAUCCUACAACGCACAGCACAGCUCCUGCCACAAAGUGCUGCGGUGAGAAGCCCUGCCCUCAAGUCUUGGUUGGGCACAUUCCACCCACAGCUCUGAGGAAGCUCCGUCUGGGGCUUCUUCAAAGAGUCAUUCUGCAACCAGGAAGCUGGCAGCCCAUACAACUAUGCAGAAGGUGAAAGAGAGAAGGCGGGACCAUGAACACGCGUUUUAAUUACUGCAUGUUUGUUUCUGACAGAGAGAGGUCAGUGUUUGCCUCCAUUUGCAGGCAUCAGGACCAAGGUGGGCAGUGGGCAGUGAGGGGGCAGGGGUGGAGGGCGGCACUAGCUCUGUGUAGCAGGCUGAAUAAUGGCUUCUAAAGAUAGCAGAUCCUGAUCCCGGUAGCCUUCUAUGAAAAAAGGUGGUCUUUGCAGAUGUCAUUAAGUGAAGAAUCUUGAGAUGGGGAGAUUAUCCUGUAUCAUCUGAGUGGGUCCUAAAUGUAAUCACACGUAUUCUUGAGAGAAGGAGGCAGAGGGAGAUCUACGUGCACAUGGAAAAGGUGAUGUAACAACAGCAGAAAUUGGGGUGAUGAGGCCACAAGCCAAGGAAUAUGGAUGGCCACUAGAAGCUGGAAAAGGCAAGGAUCAGAUACUCCCCUAGAGCUUCCUGGGGGAACGUGGCCCUGCCCACACCUUGAUUUGGGCCUAGCGAGACUGAUUUCAAAAUUCUGGCCGCCAGAACUGUGAGAGAAUAAACUGUUGUCUUAAGCCACCAAGUUGGUGGUCAUUUGUUACUGCAGCCAUAGGAGACUAAUCUACCCUGAGACUCCUGGGGCCCCCAGAUGGAUCCUCUGAGGCUGAGGGGCAAACUCUUCCAUGCAGGCAAAGCCAGAAAAAGGGGAAUGGAAAUUUCCUUUGCACUUUCCUUGAUACAUUUACAUUUCCCAUCCCACCCUUUAAGCACCCUUUCCUGUGAAAACAUGGCACCUGCCCCCUCACCGGCCUCUAUCAGUCAACAAUUCAACUGAAUGUCGGGCAAAGCAUAUGACACCCCCAGUGCUUGGUUCAAACCUGUUUGAGUCACCUGUCACUUUCUACCUUGAAUUUUUGUCACCAAUGUACAUGCAGUAACUUCUAUACUAGACUGUGACUCAGACGCUCACAAUCACACUCAAACACAGUCUAGUGUUUUUCACAGCCUGGUAUAGAAGGUACUGCCUGUACAUCAGAACAGGGGAGCAGGAGCCUGAUCUGAUUUAUUAUGAAGUCUCCCAAGGCCUCCAGCGCACAGUAUCAGGCACACAGGAAACAAUCAAUGAUUAAUGUGUGCUUCCUCCAUCCUAUGAGAAAUAUUACUUAGGUCUCUUUAUGACGAGUGGCCAAAAAGCACAAAGCCGAAUCUGAUGCUUAUUAAUAGUAAUCCCAUACUUGCUGUAAGCCCUGCAACAACUAUCAUUAUCCAUGUUUUGUUUUUCAAUGGAGGUAUAAUUUACAUACAGUAACAUGCACACAUCUUAAGUGUAUAGCUUGAUGAAUUUUUACCUAAAUAUACCUCCUGGAAACCACUGACCACACAAACAUCUAUGUCUUUCCAUCACUCUAGAAAGCUUCCUUUUUCCCUUUUCCUAGUCAAUUAACCCCCAUGCCCCUCACACUCCAGUGAACCACUAUUCUGACUUCUACUCCCAUAAACUAGGUUUGCUUGUUUGUGAACUUCAUAUAAAUGAAAUUGUACAGAAUGUACUCUUGCAUCUGGCUUCUUUCUCUUAACAUAAUGUUUUUGAGAUUUAUCCAGGUGAUUGUAUCAGUUUAUUCUUUCUUUUUUUAAUCUGCUGUGUAUUAUUCCAUUGUAAGAAUAUGCCAUAAUUUGUUUAUCCAUUCUUCUAUUGAUGGACAUUUGGAUCAUUUCCAGUUUGGGCAUAUUGUGAAUAAAGCUGCUAUGAAUACUGGUGUAUUUUAUGGACCUGUGCUUUCACUCCUCCUGGCUAUGUACUUAGGAGUAAAAUUGCUGGGCUGUAGA
rnacentral:lncRNA from 1 species